rfam:Triticum aestivum genome assembly, contig: Triticum_aestivum_CS42_TGACv1_scaffold_129716_2BL
AUAAAGUUCCCUUGGGUAAGAAGUACUACUUGUCAUCAAAAUGGAUAAAAUGAGAUGUAUCUAGACGUAUUUUAGUUCUAGAUACGUCCCUUUUUAUUCAUUUUGAUGACAAGUAUUUUCGGACGAAGGGAGCUUAUA